rnacentral:rRNA from 1 species
UUCCGUAGGUGAACCUGCGGAAGGAUCAUUCUGAGAUACUCUUUUCACGAAGAGAACCUCAAAAUAUCACCAAAACACGUUGCGCUCUGCGAAGACGACGCUCGAGUCUGUCUGACAGCGGGUACUUGUCACGAUGAUCACGACCGAGGCAGGUGGGGAGUGUGAGCUUUCAAGUACUCGAGACUGGCAUGCCUGCCCUUGAGAACCACAUUUUGACAAACCUCUUUUGAAUCUAGCUGUCUGGCCUCCGGCCGGCGGUGAAAAAAAAAUCAAACACGAUUCUAAGCGGUGGAUCACUCGGCUCGUGGGUCGAUGAAGAACGCAGCAAGCUGCGCUAAAUAAUGUGAAUUGCAGAACACAUUGAACAUCGACCAUUUGAACGCACAUGGCGGCCUAGGGUUCAUCUCUAGGCCACGUUCGUCUGAGGGUUGGCAAACAACAAAAUCUCGCGAUGAUUCUCGUCGUUCGCGAGCGUUGGACUUUCGCGACCGCCUGCGGUCCCGUGGCCUUAAAUGCUGGGCAGCCGGCCGAAGACUACGUACUUGCUGUACGGCGGGCAUGCCGAGUGCAUGCGUGUCCCGAGCUUUGCGAGUCUUCUAUCGUUCCGCGCCCUCUUUUUGUAUGUUUGAGGAGAGUUUUCUCUCUCUCACACUUUUUCGUCCAACCUCAGUCGAGCGGGAUUACCCGCUGAAUUAAAGCAUAU